rnacentral:rRNA from 1 species
UUCGAUCAUGGCUCAGAUUGAACAGCUGGCGGGAUGCUUUACACAUGCAAGUCGAACGGCAGCACGGACUUCGGUCUGGUGGCGAGUGGCGAACGGGUGAGUAAUGUAUCCGGAACGUGCCUAGUAGCGGGGGAUAACUACGCGAAAGCGUAGCUAAUACCGCAUACGCCCUUCGAGGAAAGCGGGGGACCUUCGGGCCUCGCACUAUUAAGAGCGGCCGAUAUCCGGAUUAGCUAGUUGGUGGGGUAACGGCUCACCAAGGCGACGAUCCGUAGCUGGUUUGAGAGGACGACUGGCCUGCACAGGACUGAGACACGGCUUGAACUCCUACGGAGGCAGCAGUGGGGAAUUUUGGACAAUGGGAAACCCUGAUCCAGCCAUCCCGCGUGUGCGAUGAAGGCCUUCAGGUUGUAAGCACUUUUGGCAGGAAAGAAACGGCACGGGGAUAAUACCCCGUGCAACUGACCGGUACACCUGCAGAAUAAGCACCGGCUAACUACGUGCCAGCAGCCGCGGUAAUACGUAGGGUGCGAAAGCGUUAAUCGGAAUUACUGGGCGUAAAGCGUGCUGAGCGGUUCGGAAAGAAAAGAUGUGAAAUCCCAGAGCUUAACUUUGGAACUGCAUUUUUUAACUACCGAGCUAGAAGUGUGUCAGAGGUGGAAUUCACGCGUGUAGCAGUGAAAUGCGUAGAUAUGCGGAGGAACACCGAUGGCAGAAGGCAGCCUCCUGGGAUAACUGCGGCGCUCAUGCACGGCGUGAGGGGGCAAAACCCGGGAUUGAAUACCUGGUAGUCCACGCCCUAAACGAUGUCAACUAGCUGUUGGGGCCUUCGGGCCUUGGUAGCGCAGCUAACGCGUGAAGUUGACCGCCUGAGGUACGGUCGCAAGAUUAAAACUCAAAGGAAUUGACGGGGACCCGCACAAGCGGUGGAUGAUGUGGAUUAAUUCGAUGCAACGCGAAAAACCUUACCUACCCUUGACAUGUCUGGAAUCCCGAAGAGAUUUGGGAGUGCUCGCAAGAGAACCGGAACACAGGUGCUGCAUGGCUGUCGUCAGCUCGUGUCGUGAGAUGUUGGGUUAAGUCCCGCAACGAGCGCAACCCUUGUCAUUGGUUGCUACGAAAGGCACUCUAAUGAGACUGCCGGUGACAAACCGGAGGAAGGUGGGGAUGACGUCAAGUCUCGCAUGGCCCUUAUGAGUGAAGACUACACGUCAUACAAUGGUCGGGACAGAGGGUCGCCAACCCGCGAGAGGAGCCAAUCAGAAACCCGAUCGUAGUCCGGAUCACCGGUCUACGCUCGACUGGCGUGGCGUCAGGAAUCGCUAGUAAUCGCGGAUCAGCAUGUCGCGGUGAAUACGUUCCGGGUCAGCACACCGCCCGUCACACCAUAGGGAGUGGGUUUGCAAGUAGUUAGCCUAACCGUAAGGAGGGCGAUUACCACGGUAGGAUUCAUGACUGGGGUGAAGUCGUAACAAGGUAGCUCUGUUACUACCUGA